GUAGGCGGUCGUAUAAGCGAAUAGUGAAAUCUGGCGGCUCAACCAUCAACCCAUUGUUCGAACUGUACGACUCGAGAAUGGUAGAGGUAGCUGGAAUUUCUUGUGUAGGAGUGAAAUCCGUAGAUAUAAGAAGGAACACCAAUGGCGUAGGCAGGCUACUGGACCAUUUCUGACGCUGAGGCACGAAAGCGUGGGGAGCGAACCGGAUUAGAUACCCGGGUAGUCCACGCCGUAAACUAUGGAUACUAGCUGUAGGGGGUAUCGACCCCCUCUGUAGCGAAGCUAACGCGUUAAGUAUCCCGCCUGUGGAGUACGGCCGCAAGGCUAAAACAUAAAGGAAUUGACGGGGACCCGCACAAGCGGUGGAGCGUGUUCUUUAAUUCGAUGCUAAACGAAGAACCUUACCAGGGCUUGACAUCCCGAGAAUUACUGCGAAAGCAGUGAGUGCCUUAGGGAACUCGGUGACAGGUGCUGCAUGGCCGUCGUCAGCUCGUGUCGUGAGAUGUUUGGUUAAGUCCAUCAACGAGCGCAACCCUUAUAGUCUGUUGUAUUUUUCAGGCUAGACUGCCCCGGUAACGGGGAGGAAGGAGGGGAUGAUGUCAGGUCAGUAUUACCCUUACAUCUGGGGCUACAAACACGCUACAAUGGCCGGUACAAAGGGCUGCCAAGUCGCGAGACGGAGCAAAUCCCAUCAAAGCCGGUCUCAGUUCGGAUAGCAGGCUGAAACUCGCCUGCUUGAAGCCGGAAUCGCUAGUAACGGUAGGUCAGCUAUACUACCGUGAAUACGUUCCCGGGUCUUGUACACACCGCCCGUCAAACCAUGAAAGUCGGGGGUACCUGACGUGUGAGCAUCGCCUCGCCCUAAGGUAAACCAGAUGAUUGGGGUU
rnacentral:rRNA from 1 species